GAAUUCACUAGUGAUUUGGCGGCGUGGAUAAGACAUGCAAGUCGAACGAGAGAAUUGCUAGCUUGCUAAUAAUUCUCUAGUGGCGCACGGGUGAGUAACACGUGAGUAACCUGCCCCCGAGAGCGGGAUAGCCCAGGGAAACUGGGAUUAAUACCGCAUAGUAUCGAAAGAUUAAAGCAGCAAUGCGCUUGGGGAUGGGCUCGCGGCCUAUUAGUUAGUUGGUGAGGUAACGGCUCACCAAGGCGAUGACGGGUAGCCGGUCUGAGAGGAUGUCCGGCCACACUGGAACUGAGACACGGUCCAGACACCUACGGGUGGCAGCAGUCGAGAAUCAUUCACAAUGGGGGAAACCCUGAUGGUGCGACGCCGCGUGGGGGAAUGAAGGUCUUCGGAUUGUAAACCCCUGUCAUGUGGGAGCAAAUUAAAAAGAUAGUACCACAAGAGGAAGAGACGGCUAACUCUGUGCCAGCAGCCGCGGUAAUACAGAGGUCUCAAGCGUUGUUCGGAAUCACUGGGCGUAAAGCGUGCGUAGGCUGUUUCGUAAGUCGUGUGUGAAAGGCGCGGGCUCAACCCGCGGACGGCACAUGAUACUGCGAGACUAGAGUAAUGGAGGGGGAACCGGAAUUCACGGUGUAGCAA
rnacentral:rRNA from 1 species